GACCAUCCUCCAAGGCUAAAUACUCCUGACUGACCGAUAGUGAACCAGUACCGUGAGGGAAAGGCGAAAAGAACCCCGGCGAGGGGAGUGAAAAAGAACCUGAAACCGUGUACGUACAAGCAGUGGGAGCACCUUCGGGUGUGACUGCGUACCUUUUGUAUAAUGGGUCAGCGACUUAUAUUCUGUAGCAAGGUUAACCGUAUAGGGGAGCCGCAGGGAAACCGAGUCUUAACUGGGCGUUAAGUUGCAGGGUAUAGACCCGAAACCCGGUGAUCUAGCCAUGGGCAGGUUGAAGGUUGGGUAACACUAACUGGAGGACCGAACCGACUAAUGUUGAAAAAUUAGCGGAUGACUUGUGGCUGGGGGUGAAAGGCCAAUCAAACCGGGAGAUAGCUGGUUCUCCCCGAAAGCUAUUUAGGUAGCGCCUCGUGAACUCAUCUUCGGGGGUAGAGCACUGUUUCGGCUAGGGGGUCAUCCCGACUUACCAACCCGAUGCAAACUACGAAUACCGAAGAAUGUUAUCACGGGAGACACACGGCGGGUGCUAACGUCCGUCGUGAAGAGGGAAACAACCCAGACCGCCAGCUAAGGUCCCAAAGUCAUGGUUAAGUGGGAAACGAUGUGGGAAGGCACAGACAGCCAGGAUGUUGGCUUAGAAGCAGCCAUCAUUUAAAGAAAGCGUAAUAGCUCACUGGUCGAGUCGGCCUGCGCGGAAGAUGUAACGGGGCUAAACCAUGCACCGAAGCUGCGGCAGCGACACUAUGUGUUGUUGGGUAGGGGAGCGUUCUGUAAGCCUGCGAAGGUGUGCUGUGAGGCAUGCUGGAGGUAUCAGAAGUGCGAAUGCUGACAUAAGUAACGAUAAAGCGGGUGAAAAGCCCGCUCGCCGGAAGACCAAGGGUUCCUGUCCAACGUUAAUCGGGGCAGGGUGAGUCGACCCCUAAGGCGAGGCCGAAAGGCGUAGUCGAUGGGAAACAGGUUAAUAUUCCUGUACUUGGUGUUACUGCGAAGGGGGGACGGAGAAGGCUAUGUUAGCCGGGCGACGGUUGUCCCGGUUUAAGCAUGUAGGCUGGUUGUCCAGGCAAAUCCGGAUAAUCAAGGCUGAGGUGUGAUGACGAGGCACUACGGUGCUGAAGUAACAAAUGCCCUGCUUCCAGGAAAAGCCUCUAAGCAUCAGGUAACAUCAAAUCGUACCCCAAACCGACACAGGUGGUCAGGUAGAGAAUACCAAGGCGCUUGAGAGAACUCGGGUGAAGGAACUAGGCAAAAUGGUGCCGUAACUUCGGGAGAAGGCACGCUGGUGUGUAGGUGAAGUCCCUGCGGAUGGAGCUGAGACCAGUCGAAGAUACCAGCUGGCUGCAACUGUUUAUUAAAAACACAGCACUGUGCAAACACGAAAGUGGACGUAUACGGUGUGACGCCUGCCCGGUGCCGGAAGGUUAAUUGAUGGGGUUAUCCGUAAGGAGAAGCUCUUGAUCGAAGCCCCGGUAAACGGCGGCCGUAACUAUAACGGUCCUAAGGUAGCGAAAUUCCUUGUCGGGUAAGUUCCGACCUG
rnacentral:rRNA from 1 species